AUUAACUUGUUGGGUAGAAGGUCAGGUUCACGUUUCACAGGAUGACAAUGGCUGUGCUGUGACCCAGCAGGCUCUGUUGUAUGUGCCAAGGCCUCCCAGCUGGUCUGGGCCAGUUCUGUCCUUCCACGCCUCACUGGGAGCCACCCAUUUUGUCAAUAAGCAGCUGGUAUCCCUCUGCUUCUUAGUCAUAUGUCAUUUAUAGACUCCUGAUCUGCCCCCAGUGUCACGGCCGUUGUAGGUUCUGGAAGGAACAGAAAGCAGUCAUACACAGUGAUGGACACAUAGCAGGACUUAAAAAUGCUUGCUCUGCAACACGAAGACAACGACUGAAUGACCCCACUUCCAUGAGGUAUCUAGAGUAACCAAACUCAUAGAAACAGAAGCUAGAAGGCGGUUGCCGGGGUCCAGGGGGAGGAAAAUGGAGAACUGUUGUUCAAUGGUGAUGGAAACGCUUUGGAGAUGGGUUGUAUAACAGUGUGACUAUACUUAACACAACUGAGCCGUGCACUUAAAAAUGGUUGAUGGAAGCCCUGAAACUCUGUACGUCUAUUACGCAUCAUUAAAAAUAUUGCUCAAAAAAUAGUCGAUGGCAAAUUUUAUGUUAUGUAUGUUUUACCACAGUAUAACAUUUUUAAACAGUGCAUGCUUUUCAAAGACAAUUUGGGCUUUUCAUAGAGCAGAUCCUCGGGAACUAUUUGUUGACUUACUUGCAG
rnacentral:lncRNA from 10 species